GGUCAUCAUGCAUCAGUUAAUAAAACUUUGGACCAACUAAGGAUUUUUGUAGCCAAUGAGAUGGACUUGAUUGACCAUGCAUGUAUUGUAAAAUUUUAUUACCAUUGUUCCGCCUUUUUGUUUGACAUUUUUCCAGUUCUUUGUCAGAUAUUUUAGUCUAGGCAUUCAAUUCUAUGGGUGACUGAUUUCCCAAUUUUUGGGUGGAAUGAUACAGAGCAGAGGCUUGAGGUUUGUGGAUUCCUGCAACAGAACUGCCUAAACUGCCUAUUACUUUAAAUUGUGGAUUCCUGCAACAGAACUUCAGAAAAUUAAAUUAUUGUGCCCCUGCCUGAUAAUCUGACAAGUGCUAUCAUGUUGUGCUCUCCUUUUGCACUAGUGUUUAACUAAUGACAAAUAAUAUUGGCUUCCUUGUACGAUUAGCCUUGAGUUUGGUCAAGGAAUUUGUGCAGUGAGCAUAAAAAAGAAUCAAAUUUAACUUCUGUGUGG
rnacentral:misc_RNA from 1 species